GGCCAAAAUCUAUUUCAUUGCAUCCAAAUUUUGAAACCCGCUCCUCAUCCCAAACUUUCAUUAUCCUGCCUUAUUUACAUUUGCAAGGAGAGAACCAGAGUAAAAAAGUGAGUUAGAGAUAGGACCUGAUCGGGGGCUAGGGUUUCGAGGUUAUUUUCUUAGGCCACGACAAGGUAAUAUUAGGGAUGCGUGUGAAGGCUGACACAUGGGCGACUAUAAGGUUUGGACCACCCGGUAGGUUCAGUUCCCAAAUGGUGCAUUUGCAAGCAAGUUACCACGAAGCUGCUUCAUCGAACCAAAGAUGGAUAGACAAUGGUUGUACGAGAAUGUGACAAAGUGUGUGCUUUGAGAUGUCUAUUGGUGGAUACAAUAGGCGAGGACUACCAGUUUACAUUAAAUUUAUUGAAUUUUAAAACGAACAAUAUAUAUUCACUAUCUCUUUUCAUUGCCUACUUAGCUUUUUUUUUUUUUUUUUUUUUUUUUUUUUUUUUUUUUUACAAAAUAAGCUUAACUUGGUUUGGUUUACUUUUUUAAGCUUAUGCUUAUUAGCUUAUAUAAGCUAAUUUGAAGAUGCUUCUUUAGCUUAUUUGAAGAAUGAUAGAAAAUAAGCUAUAAGCUAAUCCAAACACUUAAAAAGAGCUUAUCAAAUAAUAGAAAAUAAGCUAUAAGCUAGUUUAAGAUAUAAGCAUAACCCAAAAAAUAAAUGCUAGGCCAAACACCCCCUAAUUCAAGUAUAGCCUUGAUUGAACUGUUUUGCAUGAAAUUAACCACUCUUGGCAGAAUGUUAUACUAAAGGUUAUGCGUUUGUGACAUACAAUGUAUGUAUAGAUUGGCAGAAGAAUGUACUGAGAUGAGGUUCUCGGCUCCAAGAAUUCUUGCUUUCAAAGCAAUAUUUUAAUUAGAUUUUCUAUAAUUCAAAUAAAUAUAAAAUCUAUUGACACAUGAUUGGUAUGUAAUAGGAGGGAAACUCUCAGGCAUGGCAUUUUAAACAUGAUAUACAACUUAAAGUAGCAUAACGUUGAAAAUAUUAACAAUGGUUACUUCAUUUAGAAGGGAUUAUGGCUCUGUUGAAAUGAAAAUAUGGUAUGGUAAGGAAAUUUGUUAUCUAGGGUUUGUUUUAGUCUGCAGAUAUGGCAAGUAAAAACGUUUUUUCAAAAUGUUGUUUUGUUCUUUAAUUCGGCGUAUGCAUGUUUCUUAUAUGUAUUCAAAGUCGGUUGUUUUGUGAGGAUGUGAGGAUGACGAUCAGCUUCAAGCCUACUACUCCAGUUGAAGAAGUGAGGCUAUAUGUACAAAAGGCAUCAUAACCGACUCUUAAACAAGAGCUUGAACGGUUGAUGGUAUGAUUUGCAAUGGUCGGCUCCUAAAAUUUUGAGGCAAGAUAUGAGGUGCCCAGGAUUUGAACAAGGAUAUGUGCACGUUCAGGGUAUCCAGCAGACCCUAACGACCCAGGAUAUCAGCCUUUGGGAGCCUUUGGGAGCCUUUGGGAGCCUUUGUUGUGGUGGCUUACUUACCAAAGUCAAAAGCAAACAAAAAGAAGAGCCUAUUGGGGAACUCCAAAGACACCAGUGAGGAUGAUUCAGUCUCUGAGAUCAAGCAUUUUAUUGAAAGCUCAGUUGCAUCUAGCUAAGCUGGAUCAGUUAAGGCAAGCAGCCAGAACAGGGGUUGAAGUGUGUUUUAAGAAGGAAUGUGUGGAGCUAGGGACAAAAGUGGAAUUGCACAUACGUCAAGCAGAGACAAACAGAAUGAGAAUCUUGAAGUGGAAUUGCACCAACGGAAAUCGCCCUGCUCGAUUGGGCCAUCAACCUGAUGGCUGGCUGAUGUCGUCCAAUACGAGCAUCUCAACAUUGAUGAGUGAAAGCGAUUUAGUAGAUUCUAUAACUCAUUAGUAACAUAUAAACACUUUUAGUUUUGUUUGUUUUAGUAUUUAA
rnacentral:lncRNA from 1 species